rnacentral:rRNA from 1 species
GUCCACGCCGUAAACGAUGAGUACUAGGUGUAGGGGUAUCGACCCCUCUGUGCCGAAGCCAACGCGAUAAGUACUCCGCCUGGGGACUACGGCCGCAAGGCUAAAACUCAAAGGAAUUGACGGGGCCCCGCACAAGCAGCGGAGCGUGUGGUUUAAUUCGAUGAUACGCGAAGAACCUCACCCAGGUUUGACAUGCAUGUGGUACUGAGGUGAAAGCCAAGGGACCUUUCGGGGAGCAUGCACAGGUGUUGCACGGCCGUCGU